GAUGAAGAACGUAGCAAAAUGCGAUACUUGGUGUGAAUUGCAGAAUCCCGUGAACCAUCGAGUUUUUGAACGCAAGUUGCGCCCGAAGCCUUUUGGCCGAGGGCACGUCUGCCUGGGCGUCACGCAUCGCGUCGCCCCCCACAACUCUCCGUAAAGGGAACUUGUGUUUUGGGGGCGGAUAUUGGUCUCCCGUGCUCAUGGCGUGGUUGGCCGAAAUAGGAGUCCCUCCGGUGGACGCACGAACUAGUGGUGGUCGUAAAAGCCCUCGUCUUUUGUUUCGUGCCGUUAGUCGCGAGGGAAACUCUUUAAAAACCCAAAUGUGUCGUCUCUUGACGGCGCUUCGACCGCGACCCCAGGUCAGGCGGGACUACCCGCUGAGUUUAAGCAUAUCAAUAAGCGGAGGA
rnacentral:misc_RNA from 1 species